UGUCCCGGGUCUUCUCGUGGACAUCCUGAGGUUUGGCCUUGACCAGGUUGAGAGGCGGUAUCGUGAAGAGCGCAGCUGGCUGCGGAGGAACCGCGAGCUUCUUCUGCAGCUGCUCUGCUUCACAGGACUGAGACCUACCAUCUUCAGGCACAACAGUGAGGGUGACAGCAUUGCCGGCGUCCUUGAUGAGCUGGACGAUAUCGUUGUGAGACAGCUCCAUGAUGGACAGGCCGUUGACAGCAGAGAUACGGUCUCCCACCUUCAUCUGACCUAUGCGGUCUGUAGGGCUGCCCUCAAUAAUACGGCCAAUCUUGUGAGGUGGGGGCUUGUUCUUCGACGUGAGGAUGACAAAGCCGAAGCCCUCGUUGUCUUUGCGCUGCAGAGUGACGUCAAAGCACUCCGGUCGAGAGGACUGAGCGGGCUGGACUGCGUUCGGAGCGUCUGCACGAGGCAUCUUGGGGGAACUGUUGACCAGGGCGGACGCUACCUGCUGGGGCUGCUGACCGUUCUCCUCCUCCUCGCCAUCUGACAAAUGACACAGAAACAUGAGGGGGAUUGCUUACAGGAACAGCUCCUCUCAAUAGGUUACAGAAUCCCAUCAAUCUAGUGAUGAUACUGGUACGUCUAUCCAUCGAGGGUCAGCUCAGAUGAUCCUUCCAAAAAGAAUCCAAAGCACAGCGGCUUUAUUGAAGAUAGCCUCUUUGCUGCAUUUAUUGCACACAUGAAAUACAAGACUGCCAUCUCUACACUUGAGAUGAAAGCCCUUUACAAUUUGCUAUUCAUAUGACACGCUGAUCUACCUCCAUCUCUCUUCAUUUUAGUUCGCUUUGCUGACUCCCCGUUUUGUCAGCCGGCAUCAGGGAAUCUCUCUCUAAAGCCCUGCUUUGAAAGCAUAAACCCCUACAUGAUUGAUGCUUAAUUUCUGCGACUCGAUCAAAGCUGUUGUUGCAAUACAUCACAUCCAAAGUCAUUUCAAAAAGUGCUGCUACUAUUCACGGGGUGGUUAUUUGUGGGGGUAAACAAGCCUGAAUGCAGAAGGGCUUUGUGCUGUUGAAAAAGAAAACUCAGCAUAUUCUUUUUUUUCGGUUUCAUCCUUUGAGAUGUAAAUCAACUCUACCAGCUGAUCUAAUCUUCACUGGCCUUCAAACAGCUCCCAUCAGCCUCGGCAGAUAAACACAGAGCAAAGCCACUUUUGCAGUUUUCUAUUUUGGUGGGUGAAAAUACUUCAUUCACUUUCCUGUCAUUAAAGUAAACACGGCAUCCUCUUUCAAAACUUUACUUUUCUAUUCAGGAAAGUGUCUGCAUAGAAUAACAUCCUACAGUAAAAGUCAAUUUUGACUGAACUUCAUUUAUCCGGAUUUAUCCGCCAGGAAGUCACCCAGAACAAAUUUAAAAGGAUUAGAUUUUAAAAAUCCCAGAUCAAAGCUUCUGCUCAGAGGUCCUCCUCCAGCAUACGGAUCUAAACACAAGGAGUAAAAGCAAGAAGUCGUGCUUAAAAGCACUGAGUGCUCUCAGAGAAACGUAGAGCCCAUUAUUCAAAAGCAGACUCUACCCGAGUG